rnacentral:rRNA from 1 species
UGGCGGACGGGUGAGUAACGCGUGGGUAACCUGCCUCACACUGGGGGACAACAGUUAGAAAUGACUGCUAAUACCGCAUAAGCGCACAGGGCCGCAUGGUCCGGUGUGAAAAACUCCGGUGGUGUGAGAUGGACCCGCGUUUGAUUAGCUAGUUGGUGAGGUAACGGCCCACCAAGGCGACGAUCGGUAGCCGGACUGAGAGGUUGAACGGCCACAUUGGGACUGAGACACGGCCCAG